rnacentral:rRNA from 1 species
ACAUGCAGUCGAGGGGUAGAGUAAGCUUGCUUACUUGAGACCGGCGCACGCGUUGCGUAACGCGUAUGCAAUCUACCUUAUACAGGGGAAUAGCCCAGAGAAAUUUGGAUUAAUGCCCCAUAGUGUUAUUGAAUCGCAUGGUUUAAUAACUAAAGUUCCAACGGUAUAAGAUGAGCAUGCGUCCCAUUAGUUAGUUGGUAAGGUAACGGCUUACCAAGACAAUGAUGGGUAGGGGUCCUGAGAGGGAGAUCCCCCACACUGGUACUGAGACACGGACCAGACUCCUACGGGAGGCAGCAGUGAGGAAUAUUGGUCAAUGGGCGCAAGCCUGAACCAGCCAUGCCGCGUGCAGGAAGACGGUCCUAUGGAUUGUAAACUGCUUUUAUACAGGAAGAAACAACUCUACGUGUAGAGUCUUGACGGUACUGUAGGAAUAAGGAUCGGCUAACUCCGUGCCAGCAGCCGCGGUAAUACGGAGGAUCCAAGCGUUAUCCGGAAUCAUUGGGUUUAAAGGGUCCGUAGGCGGUCUUAUAAGUCAGUGGUGAAAUCUCCUAGCUCAACUAGGAAACUGCCAUUGAUACUGUAAGACUUGAAUUUUUGUGAAGUAACUAGAAUAUGUAGUGUAGCGGUGAAAUGCUUAGAUAUUACAUGGAAUACCAAUUGCGAAGGCAGGUUACUAACAAACGAUUGACGCUGAUGGACGAAAGCGUGGGGAGCGAACAGGAUUAGAUACCCUGGUAGUCCACGCCGUAAACGAUGGAUACUAGCUGUUCGGAGCAAUCUGAGUGGCUAAGCGAAAGUGAUAAGUAUCCCACCUGGGGAGUACGCACGCAAGUGUGAAACUCAAAGGAAUUGACGGGGG